AAAGUGGCAGAAACCCUAGCCCUCAGCCGCCACACCGCUGACCCCUCCUCCCUCCUCCCUCCUCCCUCCUCCCUCACUCCUCACCGCAGCCGUCGUGCCCCUCCCCACGUAGCCCCAGGACCUCCAUCUCCUCCAUGCGUCCUCGCUGCCGCCGCAGCCUCGGCGCACCCUCUCCUUCAACCCCAUGUGAAAUCGAGCAUCCUGGCGGUGCCUUGACUGAUGCACUGUGAUGGCUAGCGCAGGUGAGCGCCACGCAUGGUGCAGCAGGCUUGGCAGGCAGCGGGCGCGGCGGUCAAGGCCAAGGGCACGUCGAGCGACGAUGACCUCAUCCGCCACCAACAACGAGGUUCCAAAAUGUAUCGAAGAUUGCCGGGGAAUUGAUUACACCAUCUGUGGAAUAUGACAUCGCCCUUUAGGAUAAAGAAGUCUAAGCCUAAAGUCAUCAUGGUUGAGGUUGAUAGUAUAUCUGCUGGUGAUAGCGGUGGAGCUGCUGGUCUUAUUGCAAGAUUCCUAUAGUUUGCAUUUGUAAUGGCAGUUAUAGCAGGAAGCUGAAGAGCACUAUAAAUUACCUAUUUGGUACUCAACUUCAGGAAACCAACAAAUUAGCAGAUACAAGUCCGCUUGCAAUUUUUGGGAGAAUAAACAGUUCCUUUGGGUUCAUCGCUCGGUUUUGUCCCUGCUAUGCUUACUGCUCCUACAUGGCUCUUCAGGGUUAUGGAUGGAGUGCGUUAUUUCGACGGUCCUCUAUUUUUUUUGUUGCGUGUGCCUUCAGGUCCAUCAGGUAUAAGGCGAGUUGUGUCCCUGGUAGAGGUGCAGAUCAAGGAGGUCGACAAAUGGGAUGAUGUUGGGUGACGUUCACUAAGGAGGAAAAAGGUGUAGGGGUCGUUGUUUUUUUGGCGAUGGCAGCGGCAUACUUCCUUGAGCGAAGAAAGGAAUCCCCAGCCUGAAGCUUCGCACAGAUUUUGCCUAUUCUCUGAGAUGGAUGAUGAUGAGCGGUGCAACCGAAAAUUCAGAGCUGAGCUUUACACACUUCAGUGGGAGUGGCAUGACAACACCAAGGUAGAGAACUGAAGAGAAGCACAGGGACGGACCAAGGAAACUAGAACCACGCUGUCGUGAUGUGGGCCGUGUCGUCUUCGUCCAUCUCCAUGGAGUGUGUUAUAUUCUUCAGAAUGUCUUUAUGAGCAAGAACGGAUCAAUCAUAAAUUUUCAGAACGUCUCUAUUGAGUUUUUUCCUUCUAUAUCCUAUCUUCUCAGCACUUCUAGAAAGAGGUCAGACCUCCUAAUUUUUUCUUUUGUGUUCCCCAUGAUUCCGGUCCUUAUAAUUUAUCUGUUUUUGUAACAACUUUUAGCAUGUCAUAACAUUUAAUUAUGCGCUCUUAUAUUAUUAUAUUCUUACAAUCUUGUGUUUUGAAUAAUUCUUGUGGCUUGAAGUCAGAACAGUUUUAAAUAUAUCCAAAGGAUGAUAAUCGUCCGUGUCAAGUUGAGUGCACGAGAAAGAUAGAGAAAAAAUAAAGGUGAAAAGGGUCUGAGUACUGUUUCCUCACUUUUCAUGAUGUGAAUGUCCUUUAAUUCUUGUUAUUUCUAUUAAAUAAAGUAAAAUAUACUCAUGUAUAUUAAGUACUUUAAUGCAUAUUUUGAAAUUUUGUGUUCUACAGUUCAAUCAAUGAGACCAAUAGUUAGUGUAGAAACAUAUUAAACAAUUAUAGAUGUUGCCUGCACAUGAGCGCGCCCAUGGAGAAUCCAAAUUGUAUUAGAGAAAGCGAAAAAUAAUAAUUCUCAUGUUUGAGGUUCAGUUUCAUACUGGUUGCAAUUUCUUAUAGAUAGGUUAUUUUGUUGUAGGAUAAAUGGAGGUAAUAAGAUCAUAUGCUACUAAUGGGCUUGCUCUAAUCCCAAAGCUCAUUAGUGUUGGGACCAUCUUGAAAAUUAUGCUUCCACCUAUUGAUUUGUGUUGCCUUAGUUUGUUUAUAAUGUAACCAGUCCAAGGGCUGACGAGUUUUCGAGCCCUAUGACCUUUUUUUUAAGAUUGAGCCCUAUGACCUUUGUACACUCAGCUUACGUUCUACAAGGUUCAUGUGUCGUGCAGUGUUCUCGCUUUCCAAGCUACAGUCUUAUAUUAGUUUACAGAGGGAGAGAAGGAGUACUUGAAAAGAGAUUCUUUAUAUAUUGUUUGGUUCCAUCAGCCAUAUAACCUAAAAUAGCAAUUAGGUAUCUACACAGUGUAGUGUAACCAUUGUGCUUGCUGCAGUUUUACUUUAGUGUUGAAAUGCUUUUCUUAGUUUGUUCUAUAAUACGAAAUAUUUUUUUCCAGCCAUUGUUUUCUAAAUCCUAUCAGCAUAUUACCUGAUAUGGCCUUUGAAGUUUCUGUUUUAUAACGAGCUUUGCACUGGUCAGCUUGAGUAUGGUAUGGUUUAUUCUUUUCUGUUGCGGCUAUUCCAGAGAAGUUUAGAGCUCCACAACCUUCUGAAGACUUGAUUUACAGUAGCGGUGAUGAAACAAUCAAUCAAUUGAGAUUCAUCACAUGAUCUUUUUCUCUUGACAUUGAUGGGUAUCGAACCCAUAGAUCAACUUAUCAAUGGAUCUCUUGUCAGUGUUGAGAAGGUGUCACAAAAACUCAAGAGCAGUUUUAAUAUGGUCUCUUACCUUCUUACCUAUCAUGUGAAAAGAGAGGGUAAGAGGGACCAUGUCAAAAUUAGCCAAAACUCAAACACAGGGCAAUCAGCUAAGGAAAGAAGCUAAGAAGCAUCAGAAAAGGCUUUUAGGAUGGUAUAGCGGUCAAAUGCAUCCUAGGAUUGGUACUUUUAAGAAUUAUGGUGUGUUUUGCUCCUUUUUUGUUUACCUUAGCCACAUAGGUUAGCCUCAAUUCAUUAUUAUCCUUCUAUUUAGAGUAGGUGCAGAACUAACACUUACCUAGGUUGUGAGAGCUGAUGAUGAUGAUUCUAUUAAAACUCCUUGCUAGCUGCACCGUUUGUCUCUGUAAACAAUAUAACUAAGGGCAUAUGGUUUCCAAUGUGACUAAGAUCUAAAUUCUUGCUGAGUGUAGUUUCUAAAGCAUAGAGUUGCUGAAAAAUUGAAAUACAUUCUUAAUUGGCCUGUACAUCUUAUACACAUGUUUUUUUCAAGCUCAUAUUUCUUAGCGUGAUAACCAUACUUUCAACUAAAAAAAUGCUUCCUUAAUUGGUUUGUACAUGUUAUACAAAUAUGAUUUUUAAACUCACAUUUUCAGGGUGAUAAACAUAUUUUCAAUAUAGCAUGAUUUAACACAUGGGCUUUCUACUACCAAUAUCGAAUAUGUCCUUGCAAAAUGAAACUAUUUUUCUCGAUAACAUGGCUUUAAUGGGUCUCUGCGCCAUUUGGCGCAACGGAUCAACUAGUAAUAAGAAAAUGUGGGAAGAAUGCUUGCCUCAUAUUGAAUUUGCUUAUAAUCAUUCAUUGCAUU